GACGAACGCUGGCGGCGCGCUUAACACAUGCCAGUCGAACGGAAAGGCCUGCUUUCCCUUGUGGAUUGCGGGUACUCGAGUGGCGAACGGGUGAGUAACACGUGAGUGAUCUGCCCCCAACUUGGGUAUAAGCCUGGGAAACUGGGGCUAAUUCCCGAUAGGACUGCAGGGUGGUGCCUGUGGUGGAAAACGAUUUUCUAGUGGUUGGGGAUGAGCUCGCGGCCUAUCAGCUUGUUGGUGGGGUAAUGGCCUACCAAGGCGGCGACGGGUAGCCGGCCUGAGAGGGUGGACGGCCACAUUGGGACUGAGAUACGGCCCAGACUCCUACGGGAGGCAGCAGUGGGGAAUAUUGCACAAUGGGCGGAAGCCUGAUGCAGCGACGCCGCGUGGGGGAUGACGGCCUUCGGGUUGUAAACUCCUUUCGACCGCGAGGAAGCCACCUGGUUGGAAGGGUGGUGACGGUAGUGGUAGAAGAAGCACCGGCUAACUACGUG
rnacentral:rRNA from 1 species